rnacentral:misc_RNA from 1 species
UGACCACGUGAACAUGAGCGAG